AUUGAACGCUGGCGGCAUGCCUUACACAUGCAAGUCGAACGGCAGCAUGGAGGAGCUUGCUCCUCUGAUGGCGAGUGGCGAACGGGUGAGUAAAGCAUCGGAACGUACCGUGUAGUGGGGAUAACGUAGCGAAAGUUACGCUAAUACCGCAUACGCACUGAGGUGGAAAGCAGGGGAUCGCAAGACCUUGCGCUAUACGAGCGGCCGAUGUCAGAUUAGCUAGUUGGUAGGGUAAAGGCCUACCAAGGCGACGAUCUGUAGCGGGUCUGAGAGGAUGACCCGCCACACUGGGACUGAGACACGGCCCAGACUCCUCCGGGAGGCAGCAGUGGGGAAUUUUGGACAAUGGGGGAAACCCUGAUCCAGCCAUGCCGCGUGAGUGAAGAAGGCCUUCGGGUUGUAAAGCUCUUUCGGCCGGGAAGAAAUCGCACAGGCUAAUACUCUGUGUGGAUGACGGUACCGGCAUAAGAAGCACCGGCUAACUACGUGCCAGCCGCCGCAGUAA
rnacentral:rRNA from 1 species